CCUACGGGAGUCAGCAGUCGAGAAUCAUUCACAAUGGGGGAAACCCUGAUGGUGCGACGCCGCGUGGGGGAAUGAAGGUCUUCGGAUUGUACACCCCUGUCAUGUGGGAGCAAAUUAAAAAGAUAGUACCACAAGAGGAAGAGACGGCUAACUCUGUGCCAGCAGCCGCGGUAAUACAGAGGUCUCAAGCGUUGUUCGGAAUCACUGGGCGUAAAGCGUGCGUAGGCUGUUUCUGAAGUCGUGUGUGAAAGGCGCGGGCUCAACCCGCGGACGGCACAUGAUACUGCGAGACUAGAGUAAUGGAGGGGGAACCGGAAUUCUCGGUGUAGCAGUGAAAUGCGUAGAUAUCGAGAGGAACACUCGUGGCGAAGGCGGGUUCCUGGACAUUAACUGACGCUGAGGCACGAAGGCCAGGGGAGCGAAAGGGAUUAGAUACCCCGGUAGUC
rnacentral:rRNA from 1 species